rnacentral:misc_RNA from 1 species
CCACCAACCAAAUCCUUCGACCUUUCUCCCCCAACCACUGCAGCCAAAUCCUCAAGGUCCCCAGCCUCAACAAGAGCACCAACUGCCUCCUCAAAUGUCUCCGCUUCAUUUUCCAUAUUUGAGUUCUCAUCCACCACAAGUGAACUGGAAUCACCCAGAGUCUUAACACAGACACCAAAUUCAGAUUUUGCUCCCAGGUCCUGCAACUGCUCUGGUGAAUCAAUUCCCUCUGGUGAAUCAACUGCCUCCUCAAAAACCUCAUCUUCAAAAUCUUUCAACCUAUCAGACCCCACCAAAACCCUCUCCUCUACCUUAUCCCCAGAAACCUGAUUUUCCACAUUUUUUUCCUCUCCCAAUUGGGGCCCACCAACGCUCGUAACCCCAUUUUCCAUUUUCAAUAUGUCUCAGCCGCAAAAACCCUGGUUUUGUAGACAACUAUAGAGAGAGACCCA